GUGCACGCCACUGUGCGGCAAUAUCGCAUUCCAGCGGAAACACGUGGCUACUUAAUAUGCAGCCGCUCCUCACUGCUGCUGCUGUUGCUGCUGUUGUUGUUGUUGCUGCUGCUGCUGUUGCUGCUGCUGCUGCUGCUGUUGCUGCUGUUGUUGUUGUUGUUGUUGCUGCUGCUGCUGUUGUUGCUGCUGCUGUUGCUGUGAAGCUUCGAGGAGCUUUGUGUGUGUUUUCACCGCUGAAAAACGCACAAGAACUCAAUCGUGGCUUCCGGUCUCACUUCACAAGUUAGCAUUGAAGACUUUAUGCUAAGGCGUUAGCAUUUGGAGUUUGAACUUUCUCCAGAGUUUAUACACAAACGGACGGAUUAUUCAGCGGCAGGACACGAGAACAAGGCGAACAGACAUACAGUCGUGACUCCUGAGAUGACGACAUGACGCCAGCGAUGAAAAUAAACAACCCUGAACCUCUUUUGAACCUUCUGUCUUCUGAUGGGCGAUCUUCUUUCUUUUUUUUCCCUGGUGGCAGCGGAGCAAAGCAAUCGUUUCCACAUGGAUUGACAGGGAGGGAUUUACAGAUUUGCUGCUUUGACGACUCAUUCCACUGAAAUGACUGACGCGAGAAUCCUCGCAGCAUCGACCGAUCACUGGAAUCACAACUUCUUCUCUGACAGGAGCCGGACCUCCAUGCAUCAUCAAUUACUUGACUUCCUCUCGCUCGCAGCUCUCCAUGGAUCGUGGUCUGACAGUGAAACGCUCGACUGUGGGAGACGGCUGUCGAUACAGCUGAGCCUCAGACCAAAGCAGCCGCACUGAUCUAUGAAAUACAGGACGGACGUGCCCGGCGCGAGGCGUUUCCAUUUCCCUCACAGAGAGAGAAAAGGGCCGAUGGCGGGAUUCUAAUGAAGACGCCGGUAACCUUUUCAACAAUUCCAUCUGAACGUCGUCAGCAGCUGUGACUCACCUGCUUCACCUGCUGGGCUUUGUACUUGUUCAUGAAAUGACUUCCACUGCAACUUUCUUAAUACAUAUUUACAUAUAUACGUCUAUAGCAGCCUGACUAACAGAUGCCUUAAAUAUAAGCUUCAUCAAAAAGGAAGGUUUUAAAGGCCCUGCUAUACUGGUAUCAACGCGUGCAGACAUGUACCACAGUUUGAGAACCGUGGAUGACGCACUUUUAAAAACAGGAAAGAAGAAAAUUAAAAAAAUGUUUACUCAUGUGUUCCGAGUCAUAUUGUACUUUACUGGCGUCUCCUGUGACUUCCAAAUGUUGCUGUAUAUCACGAGAGGCAGCUGCUAAUCAGUGUUGAUCAUAAAUGAUAAAGUCAAACACUUAAUAUGCUGAUAUGUUCCCAAAACGCCGCAGGAUAAUGGAGGCAAACGAACCUUGUUGUGCUCUUGACAAAAGAUUGCUGGGAAAGUUAGAGAUUAAUUACUGGCAAUAAAUGUUACCUCGUAAAUUUGAUCAUGACCUUGCUCUGCACUUCCGUCUGGCAAGGAUCAGUGAUCUCAGCCACUUCUGUAGCAGCUCAGGUGUCACAUAAUGCUAAUCAUGACAUUACUGCCCGAGUUAUACGACGGUGAUCAACCGGAUCGAAUAAAUCAAAGAGUUUGACAGGAGUUACAGCCGCGAGUGUGUCGCGCAGUUUACGUUUCUGAAGAGCAGCACAAGUUUUAUGGCACUUUUCCAUGCUUUUUUUUUCCUUUUCCAUCAGGGAUAGUACCUGCUACCUGACAUGUAUAUUUCAGGCUGAAGUAGUUUUAAAAGAUUGACUCAUUUAAAGUGGGAAAAGAUUAUUAAUAUAACAUAUUUUUACUACAGUUUUGGGGAAAGUGACAUUUUCUGCCGCUAGGA